UGGGCAUCUGGCGGGCACUGUGGCCUGCAGAGACUCGAGGUGUGGAGGGCAGAGCCAGGGAGGAGUGAGCAUGUCUUGGGACCUGACAGCCAGGCGGCUGGCACCACCAUCACCGCUAUCGCUGCUCCUGGUGCUGGUGCUGCUGUCCGGAGCUGGGGCUCUGCGUCCUGAAGAGCUCUUUCCUUACCGGGAGUCGUGGGGCUGCCUCGGGAGGGCGACGAUGAAAGCUCCGCGGCUGUGAAGCUAGCAGUACCUCUACGCUUCUAUGGUGUCCAGUUCAGCAACCUCUAUGCUUAGCAGCGGCGCUGCAGCUUCUUGAUCCCUACUGUGGAGGAAUAAGGAUCAUUUCAAGGGAGAGCUGGAACCAUCCCCCUCUACUUCGACUUCCCAGGUGUGCAGUGGUGGAGAAAGAUGAGCGGGUUCGAGAGCAGCCGCACCUGUGGGUCGCAGUGCACUUGAGGACUGUCGCCAAAGUUGAGUUUGUUGCCCUGGAUGUGUCUCAACCUGCAAAGAGGAGGGAAUCUUCUUGACUCGAGUAGAACUCGGACCGUAGGUGCGUUGACUGGUGGUUGCCCUUGGGACUUGAGCGACCACUGUUUUGCUCUUUUAAAAACGUUUAUGUGGGGCGGGAUUCACCUGCCACCUCAUGCGUGUGAAGAGCAGAGAACAACCAGGUUUUUUUUUAUCCCACCUUCUGUCGGGUCCUAAAACUCAAGUCCUCAGGUUUGACUGCAGAGUGCCCUUACCUGCUGAACUGUCUCGCCGCCCUGUGGUCUUAUUGUAGGUGGGCACCAAUGGCAUCAUCUCCACCCAGGACUUACCCAGGGAGACUUAAUAUGUCGUUGAUGAUUUUCCUACUGACUUCCUAGCCAUCGCCCCAUUCCUGGCUGACAUCCACUCGAGUCAGAGCAGUGGCCGGAUCCUGUAUGGAGGACACCUCCUGGGCUGUGCUGUGUCUGGCUGCUUGCUACCUGUGCACAGGCUUCCUGCUGACCAGGUCCAGCUUCCCCCCUACCCACUUCUUCCUGGCCACCUGGGAACAAGUGGGCCCCUAGGAGGAGGACAGUCUUGGGGCUGCGUGGUCUAGAGAGCUUAACACUCUCCAGGCUGUUCUGGCAUCCGAUGAAUGUGAUUCCUAUGUCCUCUUUCUCUAUCCUGCCAAUGGUCUUCAGUUUUUGGAACUCGCCCCAAAGAAUCCUACAGUGUCCAGCUGCAGCUUCCUGCUAAGGUGGGCUUCUGCCAAGGGGAAGCAGAUGACCUGAAGAGAAAAGCCCUGUAUUUCAGCCUGACUAACAGUGAGCAGUCGGUGAAGAAUCUCUACCCAUGAGUAAUGUGGAGUGUGUGACUGUGAUAUGCACUGAAAGGACAUUAGGAGGGACACUAUCUCUAGUGGCCAGAAACCAUUUGAUAAUAACCUUUGGUGGCUUCUAAGAAAGGCACUGGCUCAAAACCAAGAGCUAAGCUGGACCUCUGGAGCUUCAGGCUCUCCAAGAUGUAAAAGAUUCUUUCUUUUUCCUGCACUAUCUGUCAGGCAUAGAAACCAGAACGAGCAGUGAUUAUAUGUUUUUGCAGAACUACUGGGGCUUGCUGUGAAAAACAUUGUUCUUAGGGCUACACAAAAAUAUCCAGUCAUAACUAACUGCCUCAGUGGAAGCUUUUCAGGUUAAUGAUUUCUGGAGAGGAGGCAUCAUGAUUCAGUCUUUCAAACAGGUAUUGUUAAGGAUUAAAUUAUGAGUACUAUAAUGGGGGAGAGGUAGAUGAGGCUUUUAGUCGUCUCAGGUUUCUCCUGGCAUCAUCACCUGAAAUCAUGCUGAUUGGUUUACCCACAGCGUUGCCAGAGACAAUUCCAUUUCUUAGUCUCCCCAGUGGGUUAUUCUGCUAGUGCUGCAGUAGGCUAUUCUGCAGGUGUCUGUCCAGUUCGUGCUCAUAUGAGACUAUUGACUUCAGGUGGGCUCUUUUGUCUUUGUAUUCUGCAAUACCAGCUUAGCCCAUAGGAGUUACUUUGUGGCUUCCCAUAGUUGCUUCUCAGUCAAACUAAGACUAGAUCGUGGGCAGAUAGAGUGACAGAGCAAAAAUUUGCUCAUCACUUUAUCUGCAGGGCAUUGUGAUAAAACACUUGCAGAUAUUAUCUUAAUUAAAACUCUCUCAACUUAUAGGCGGUAAGUAUAACUAUCUUUCCAGUUUUACAAAUAGUCUUCCCGAAAUUAUGAAAGGUGCUUAUGUCAGAGUUAAAUGGCCGAGCCAUAGUCAAUACAGCUCUGAAGUAUGGAUACAAGGGUGAUCUCUUAUGCAGAGUAGAUAGGGUGUUUCUUACUUGGAUUUCAUGUUACCUGGUUGUUUGUAUUUUGGUUCAUUUUAUCAGUCACUCAGGGUUAAAGCUCAUUCUGCCACUCUCCCGCAAUUUUGAUAUUUCUGGAAAGCAUCAAAGGAGACAGUGAAGAACCGGAGUGAAUGGAUGACAGUGUUUGUGUCUGCCUGUGUGUGUGUGUGUGUGUGUGUGUGUGUGUGUGUGUGUGUGUGCAUGCGCGCGUGCAUGCGCAUGCGUGUGUGUGAGCACGUGUAUGAAGGCCUUUAUGGCUCUAGUAGGAAAACACAACUUUCUCCUCACAUGCUUUUUGCACACACACACAGGCACAGACAUACGGGCACACACAUGCACAUGCACAGCAGCUUCUUAUGGCUAUGCAGGUACCAAUUCUCAUUCUAAUACUCUGUGAUUCUUGGUCCUUCCCAGAUGCUGUUGGUGUCCAGGGGAUCUGCCUUUAAAAAGCAUAGUAUUUCAAACACUCAGCCCUAUUUCCAAGGGCUCUACAUACAAGUGUCCCCUCCAUUACUGUGAUCCAUACAGGGUCUUUAUCUCCAUCUCAUCCGCUGUGUACUCUAGACUCUAGAACAGACUUAGCAGUUGGCCUCUAUCCUUUCUCCUCUAACCUCUUACCCUCUAGCUUAAAGACUCUCUCUCCCCAGGUUGUACCUAGAGCCCCCUGGAAGGAGGGCUGAUUGCUUGAAAUACUACGAUGUUUAAGACACAGGAGUGUGCCAGAAAGGAGCAGCAUGAGACAUGACCAGAGUGAUUGACAGAUUUGGUGUGCCUCACGCUUAAUAAAAUGAGACAAACUACAGACAAUGGAAUAACAUAAAAUGCAAGUCAGAAUUAUCCUACCACUACUCUGAGUGACAACUCUGCUACCUCCCCUUUCAGCAUGGGCUUUGCCUCCCAUUCAGUGUUUCCAUACUUAACACUGUCUCCUAGGAUUCUUUCCUCCAGAUUCUGUCAGUAUCAUUGUCUUAAGGGUUGAAACAUUGCAUCACACAUGCCCAGCAUUGAGGACAACAUUUGUAAACAAAGUAGCUCAGGAUCAUGGUCCUAGCUCCCUCUGGAUGCUUUGCUG
rnacentral:lncRNA from 1 species